GCCUAACACAUGCAAGUCGAGCGACGCACGUCGAGGGGGUAACCCCUUGGUGUGACGGAGCGGCGAACGGGUGAGUAACACGUGAGGAACCUGCCCCGUAGACCGGGAUAGCCCGGGGAAACCCGAAUUAAUACCGGACGACCUCGUUGAUCCGCAUGGGUCGACGAGCAAAUGCUUUUGCGCUAUGGGAUGGCCUCGCGGCCUAUCAGCUUGUUGGUGAGGUAACGGCUCACCAAGGCAUUGACGGGUAGCUGGUCUGAGAGGACGAUCAGCCACACUGGGACUGAGAUACGGCCCAGACUCCUACGGGAGGCAGCAGCAGGGAAUAUUGCGCAAUGGGCGAAAGCCUGACGCAGCAACGCCGCGUGGGGGAUGAAGGCCUUCGGGUUGUAAACCCCUUUCAGGAGGGAAGAAAUUGACGGUACCUCCAAAAGAAGCCCCGGCUAACUACGUGCCAGCAGCCGCGGUAAU
rnacentral:rRNA from 1 species